rnacentral:rRNA from 1 species
CCUACGGGUGGCAGCAGUGAGGAAUAUUGGUCAAUGGGCGCGAGCCUGAACCAGCCAAGUAGCGUGAAGGAUGACUGCCCUACGGGUUGUAAACUUCUUUUAUAAAGGAAUAAAGUGAUGCACGUGUGCCUUUUUGUAUUUACUUUAUGAAUAAGGAUCGGCUAACUCCGUCCCAGCAGCCGCGGUAAUACGGAGGAUCCGAGCGUUAUCCGGAUUUUUUGGGUUUAAAGGGAGCGUAGAUGGGUUGUUAAGUCAGUUGGGAAAGUUUGCGGCUCAACCGUAAAAUUGCAAUUGAUACUGGCAGUCUUGAGUACAGUUGAGGUAGGCGGAAUUCGUGGUGUAGCGGUGAAAUGCUUAGAUAUCACGAAGAACUCCGAUUGCGAAGGCAGCUUACUAAACUGCCACUGACAUUGAUGCACGAAAGCGUGGGUAUCGAACAGGAUUAGAUACCCCGGUAGUC